ensembl:lncRNA
AGAUCAAGGCGCAGGUGAGGCUGGUUCUCCUGAGGCCUCCCUCCUCGGUUUGCAGACGGCUGUCCUCAUGUGGUUCUUCCUUCUCUGUGCAAAGAACCAACUAAGAAAAAUGUUCCUACACACCUGGAACUCCAUCUGAACCUGGCUGAGCCCUCUUUCCCCAAUUUCUCUUCACUCAUCGCUGCCUCUGGAAAGUCUUCCAGGAUAACCCUGUGAUCCUUCUUUAUUGCAGGCUCCGGGAGUCACUGGGACUCUAGGAUCAGGUGGCUUUCCAGGUCCCCAGGGGAGAGAGGAAGACGCUGAAAGGACCUGGCCAACAGCCCCAGAUCUGAGGUGCUGGCUCCUGACCGAGGUGGUUCUUCGUUCUUGCCUGAGCUUCUUCUGGACAAGCCCUACCCAGAGGAUGGCCACGCCCUGAGCUCCACCGCAGGGCUCUUCCUUGACACCGGAGGUCCCUGAUGGGAGCACAGGAUGGACUCGGACCAGGCAGGCUCCCCCACCAACCACACCACACGCCCGUCACAGAGCUGGACCACAACUCUUCCUUCUUCACACAGUUGUCUGGGAGUCUCUAAAAUUAAACCUCUCUCAGACACACACGCACACACACACACUUUGCUUUAAAUGUCCUCAGAAUAGAACUCCUCUUUGCUUUCAGGGAAAAGUUCAAAGCUUUAAAUGGCUUGCAAAGCCCUUUGGAUUUGACCUCUUGCCCUUAACACUCUCCACACCCCAGCCCCUUGGCGCUUCUUUGGGUCCCUUGAGCAACGAAGCUCUUUUCUCCUCAGACGCCAGCAGACUGGGUCUCUCCCCCUCCUCUUCCUCCACUCCGAGCAGAGUC